UAGGGAAUCUUCCACAAUGGACGCAAGUCUGAUGGAGCAACGCCGCGUGAGUGAAGAAGAUCUUCGGAUCGUAAAACUCUGUUGUUAGAGAAGAACACGAGUGAGAGUAACUGUUCAUUCGAUGACGGUAUCUAACCAGAAAGGGACGGCUAACUACGUGCCAG
rnacentral:rRNA from 1 species